rnacentral:lncRNA from 1 species
GGCCAGCAAAUAUUAUGCCUUAAAAAAAGGCGUAAGAAGGAGAAACUGGGUUCAAAAACAUGGAUGAAAAUUCAAAUAACUUGGAAAGCAGAGAUUAAUAAAUAGAGGAAGAGUAAAGUAGGAUUUGUCCUUUUCUUCGUGACUUACACAUUUAAGUAUUAAUUAAAUUGAAGAUUUAAGUAUUUUUUAAACUGAGAGUUCAUGGGGAGAGAAAAUCCAGCUGUUGAAGACCUCCAAAGCCUGAUGCAGCUGUAGCAGCUCUGAUGUGAUAAGGAAGCUUAACAUGCAGACAAAACGCCAUUCCCUUCAGAGGAACCUCUGUAUGUUCUCCAGAUCCUUCCUAAAACCCAGCCAAGUGAAAUCGCCCUCCUGCAAGGGCUGCCAACAAUCAGCAGCGGGCUCACGUACCUGCCAAGGGUGCCACCGCGUGGACAGUCAUGUCAGUGAUGGAGAGAUAUGAAGAUUCGCAAUGCAAAAGAAGAGUAAAGAUGCACCUGGAAACAAGAAGACAGCUGAGGCACAUAUAACUGCUCCCCUGCGCCUGACCUCAGUAGUAGCUUUGCUGGAGUAAUGUGAAACAUUUCAACAUAUGAGCCAGUUUGUGUGUGAAGAUGCCUUCAUGUCAUGGCUUUCAGGUAAGUUUCUCUUUAAGAUUUUAAAUAAUUUUAAAAGGCUUUAAGAUGUUGCCCUAUUGCAUACCUAUCCAAACAUUUAACGCUUUUGUAGUGACCUGUAGAACCUAAGGUAAUAAAGUAGAAGGGUUAAGAAGAAAGAAUAAUAAA